UAUCCGUAGGUGAACCUGCGGAAGGAUCAUUAAUGAGUGAUGGCCUUCGGGUCCAACCUCCCACCCGUGUCUUACGUACCAGGUUGCUUCGGCAGGCCCGCCUCAAGGCCGAGGGGGGCGUCUCCCCACGUGCCCGUGCCUGGCGAAGACUCUCCGAACUCUGUCUGAAGAUUGCAGUCUGAGUGAAACACAAAAAUUAUAUAAAACUUUCAACAACGGAUCUCUUGGUUCCG
rnacentral:misc_RNA from 1 species